AGAGCGAACGCUGGCGGCAGGCUUAACACAUGCAAGUCGAGCGGGCGUAGCAAUACGUCAGCGGCAGACGGGUGAGUAACGCGUGGGAACAUACCUCUUGGUUCGGAACAACACAGGGAAACUUGUGCUAAUACCGGAUAAGCCCUUACGGGGAAAGAUUUAUCGCCGAGAGAUUGGCCCGCGUCUGAUUAGCUAGUUGGUAGGGUAACGGCCUACCAAGGCGACGAUCAGUAGCUGGUCUGAGAGGAUGAUCAGCCACAUUGGGACUGAGACACGGCCCAAACUCCUACGGGAGGCAGCAGUGGGGAAUAUUGGACAAUGGGCGCAAGCCUGAUCCAGCCAUGCCGCGUGAGUGAUGAAGGCCCUAGGUUGUAAAGCUCUUUUGUGCGGGAAGAUAAUGACGGUACCGCAAGAAUAAGCCCGGCUAACUUCGCGCCAGCAGCCGC
rnacentral:rRNA from 1 species